CUUCAUUCCCAACCUGGCUCUCUCCAUCUGGCCCCCAAUCAUCCCCCAGUGUGAUUGGCUGAAUGGUUCCCUCCCUUCCUGCUGCCCUGAGGGAUGGACCGGCCCAUCAGCUCUGCUGCUCAGCGUUGGGAGGAACCAUGUGAGAGCUGCAGGGGGAACCAGCACAGAUCCAGACCACCUGCGGAGUUUUGGGGCCUGCAGGCUGCAGCAGACAUGACUGAACACAGAUCAGAUCCUCCUCUUCUCUUCAGGCUCCGUCAUGUUUGUCCUGACCUGACAGGGAGAAAAAAACUCACUGCAAACUGUUUUCCUAACGCGACCGGGACCAAAGGUUCAUUUCUGAUUACAGUCACACUAAAGUCAAACAUAUAAAACUGCUGCUGCACAAAAUGUGUCUUUUUCUGGUAAAAGAUUGAAUAUUUGAACCUUUAAAAACC